rnacentral:rRNA from 1 species
UACGAAGGGUGCAAACGUUGCUCGGAAUUAUUGGGCGUAAAGCGCACGUAGGCGGCAUUGCAAGUCGGAUGUGAAAUCUUAUGGCUUAACCAUAAAAGUGCAUCCGAAACUGCAGUGCUUGAGUACUUAAGAGGAUCGCGGAAUUCCCGGUGUAGAGGUGAAAUGCGUAGAUAUCGGGAGGAACACCAGUGGCGAAGGCGACUUCCUGGCCUGUUCUUGACGCUGAGGCGCGAAAGCUAGGGGAGCAAACGGG